rnacentral:misc_RNA from 1 species
CGCACAUUGCGCCCCUUGGUAUUCCGAUGGGCAUGCCUGUUCGAGCGUCAUUUCAACCCUCAAGCCUAGCUUGGUAUUGGAUGCGGUCCCCGGACCCGUCCGCAACCCGUUGGCGGUACCGUCCGGCCUCAAGCGUAGCAACAAACCUCGCUUCGGGAGCUCGCGGCGGCGCCUGCCAGAGGAACCACCCAACUUUCCACAGUUUGACCUCGGAUCAGGCAGGGUUACCCGCUGAACUUAA